GAGCACAUCCAUCCUUCGUCCACGCACCAUCCAUCCAUUAACCCACGCAUACAUCCAUCCACCUCCAACGCCAACGCAACAAGCAGGAGCAGCCCCAGGUCAGGACUCCCGGCGGACGCGGCCAUACGAGAGAGCUCGCGCAGGCGGCCGAGACUCCCGCAUACACAGCAGGACGAGUAGGCUCACCGGAGCCACUGACGAAGAUCGCCAUCAUGCCGAUCGUUUUCUCCCAAGGUGAGAACUGCAACUGAUCUCUCCCUCUCGUUCAAUCUCUUCUCUCUCCGCAUCCCACUCCAUGGCCGUGACCGGAGCUGCGGCCGGAUGGCCGGAGUCGAGGUGGGCCGUCGGUUCCAUCUCAUCCCAUUGAAGACGAUCAUGCGGCCCCGGGGCCGCCGCCUAUGCGACCCCUGGCGACUACGAGCAGGGACCACCGUGUUCGCGCGGCCUCCGGCGCGCCCACCACUCACGACGAUGACGUGCCGGGGUUGGGCGCCCUCGGCACACUCUCCGCGCAAGACAACAACUACCGCGAAAACGGCGACAACGUGUCAGGGCUGCCGCCCAUGCGCGCCCCCGGCGCACUCUCCGCACACGAUGACGAUGUACUGGAGCCGUCGAUCGUGCGCAGUCCCCAACGCACCCUCCGUCGCCGAGUCCGCCUGCAACACCAUCGUGCCGGGACUCGGCGGCACACAUCUUUGAACUCAGUGCACUCGAGUGCGCCCCCUUCUACUCAGUGGCGGAGCCAGAAAUGAAGCAAACCCCGGGUCCAAUUUUUUUCGACAACAUAAAAAACUUUGGCACUUAAAACUAACUCAUACCAUUUCUAAAAAAAAACCGAUGCGGCGCUCGCAGGGCCGGCCCUGAGGGGGGGCAGGGGGGGCGGCCGCCCCGGGCCCCCAAGGUGGAGGGGCCCCCAAGUAUGUAUUUCCUUGUAUUUGGCCCAUUUGGCUGCAGUAAAAAAAAGUUCAGUGUGCCUGGCCCAUCGCAAGUAGAAGCAGCUACGUAUCGUAGAUGGAAGUUCUUCAAAAGACGUACGUAUAUGAAGAGUCUGAUAUAUCGCCAUAACUCACGCAUCAACUGCCAACCCACGCAUGCAUCGCCAAAUCGCCAUCACGCACGUAACAGCCGCCGCCUUUCCGCCAUAAAAAACGUACGUAGUGAACCAGAAGAGCAGUAUAAGAUGAGACCCAGAUCCCAAGGGGCGCGGUGCACAUGAUCUCAGGCGCGCACAUGAUCUAUGGAGCUGAUCUCCGGCGCCGGAGUGUCGUCUCUACAAAGUAGAUCUCAAAGAGAUCAAGCGCAGAACGAGGAUCUGGAUUCUCUCAUGGCAGUUGGUUGAAUUGAGCAAUGAGAUGACGUCAUAAUUGGGUAAUUAACUCUUAAUUUAAUCAUUUGCACAAUUCGCUAAAUGUGAGUAACUUUGCAUGCGUGGCACCAUAUAUUUACUUUUUAAAGAUACGAAGGUAUUUAACUUUUGAAGAUACGAAGAAGUAUUUUCCACACCACUCAUAUGAAUUUCGAUCAUCUAUCUAAUUUCUCAGAUACUCCUAUUUGUAGUAAUAGUCGUACCAUAGUCAUUCCAAGAACUCAAAAAUGUGAAUCCAACAAUGCAAUUUGGACGCAAAUUCCUUGUGGACUAUUCGGGAAGGCUUCUGUUGUUUUGGUUCAGUAUCUAAAAUAAUGUACUCCCAUAGUUGAAGUUCAAGCAUGACAUUAAACAAGACUUUGCAUCGCGCAUUGUUGUCUAUUUUCUCCAUAACACAUUAUUUCGAUGCUUAAAUCAAGGGCCCCUGGGUUUUAGUUUCGCCCCGGGCCCCCGAAAUCUCAGGACCGGCCCUGGGCGCUGGACGAGUCACGACGACUCGUCGUAACUAUGGAGGCGGCGCGGCACUCGAUGACUCGUUGCUAGCUAUGGCGGCGGAGACAACAUCCGGCUGCGGCCGGAACACGCUUAGGCGUAUCUUGCGGCCUCCCUUUUCGUCGGCACGAACACAUGUCACACGUGCCGAACGGUGCAAGGUAACGACUUCCUCCACUAUUGGCGGCGGUGUACGCGGUCAUCGACGGAUGUGUGCACAUCAUGUGUCGCACGUCCAUCCACUCCUUCUCCUAUCGACAUAUACUCCCGUGGGGCAUACCCCUCGCACUCCCGGUGAAUCUACAAUGUCAUCGAUGACGUUCAAGCCAAGCUCAAACAUGCAUGCUACUUCAACAACUACAUCGACGCCGCUCAAGGCCGACGAGGCAAGACGGCGUAGGCGGGCGUGGCCGGAGCAAAGGCCACGUUUUCGACGGCGCGUGUACCACUCAGUACACGGACUCUGCCGCCGCCUUUCACACACCACCAUACAUGAGGAACCUGAAGCGAAGAUCAAAGACGACGACUGCACAGCUUAAUCAGAGGUGUCCCGCGGUACUAUCCGCGGGAGUAAUUAACCGGAGCCUUUCCGAGGCCUCCGGGAACCAGGAGACCCGAUCGCUUGAUUCCUUGGCAGCGCCAGCAGGCCUUACCUUUUUCUUUUCUUCCUUGUAUUUGUGUACUAUGUACCCUGGCACGCCCGCAACACCUUGUUCCUCGGUGCAAAGGGAGACACUUAUAUGAAACCCUCUUAUCUUUUUGUA